AACGAACGCUGGCGGCAUGCCUAACACAUGCAAGUCGAACGAAGUCUUCGGACUUAGUGGCGCACGGGUGCGUAACGCGUGGGAAUCUGCCCUUGGGUGCGGAAUAACUUCUCGAAAGGGAUGCUAAUACCGCAUAAUGUCGUAAGACCAAAGAUUUAUCGCCCAAGGAUGAGCCCGCGUAAGAUUAGCUAGUUGGUGGGUAAAAGCCUACCAAGGCGACGAUCUUUAGCUGGUCUGAGAGGAUGAUCAGCCACACUGGGACUGAGACACGGCCCAGACUCCUACGGGAGGCAGCAGUGGGAAUAUUGGACAAUGGGCGAAAGCCUGAUCCAGCAAUGCCGCGUGAGUGAUGAAGCCCUAGGUUGUAAGCUCUUUACCUAGGAGUGAUAAUGACAGUACCU
rnacentral:rRNA from 1 species